GACGAACGCUGGCGGCGUGCCUAAUACAUGCAAGUCGAACGCAGUGGGGACGGGUGAGUAACACGUGGGUAACCUCCCAUCAGAGGGGAUAACACUUGGAAACAGGUGCUAAACCGAUACUGAUGGAGGAACCCGCGGUGCAUUAGCUAGUUGGUGAGGUAAGGGCUCACCAAGGCCACGAUGCAUAGCCGGCCUGAGAGGGUGAUCAGCCACACUGGGACUGAGACACGGCCCAGACUCCUACGGGAGGCAGCAGUGGGGAAUAUUCGACAAUGGGCGCAAGUCUGACGGAGCAACGCCGCGUGAAUGAAGAAGGUUUUAGGAUCGUAAAGUUCUUUUGUUGGGGAGGCGUUAUCGAACGAGAAAGCCACGGCUAACUCCGUGCCAGCAGCCGCGGUAAUUC
rnacentral:rRNA from 1 species